UCUCCUAUGGCCUCCAUCACCUCCCCCACGUGAUCCCCCAUCCCCCUCUGUCAGAGAAAUGACUCUGGGCCGCCGGAAAAAUGCUCCCUCAAUCACUCAUCCUCUCAAAUCGACCUGAAAAGGUCGAUUCUUGAAAGAUUUCCUGCCCUCUUCAUUAUAAUUUUUCUGUUCUUCCUCAGACUUGGCUUCCCAAGAAUUCAAAAUUUAAAUUCUUG
rnacentral:lncRNA from 1 species